UUUAAUAGCAGUUAUUUAUUUGUCAUUAUAAUUAUUUUUGUUUUGAUAAUAAUAAUUAUUUUUUUUUUUUUAACUUUUCUUUUCGAAUUGUAGGAGGUACACAUUAGAAUGGAUUAGCUCUGAGAAUAGUGUGAGGUUUGUUUAUUUGUGUAUGUUAAGGGAAUGAACUCCAGGGGAACAGUCUUUGAGAUGAGAGAGUUGUUGUGAUUGUCCAGCCAGUGGAGCUGAGCUGGGACAAUUUGAGGUGUCCCUGGGAGAGGAGGGACUGUAGCAGACCCAUAGGAGAUGGGCUGGCUACUGGUUAAGGGUCGGGAGAACCCUGUGUUGUUAGUAGUUGGGGCAGGAGUUCCCCAUGGUAGUACCGGAAGUGGCUAUCCCGUACGGGAUAAGGGUACCACUUUAAUUAAUUUUAUUGGUGGGGUUAGAGUCCCCUGUGUAGUGGGCCUAUAGGAGAUAGGCACUACAGCGAAAUUUUUGGUUGUCCUGGAGGUAAAUUCCCUGGGUUAAGUUAAGGAAUUGUUUUUAAAGUUAGGAAGUAGGGAAAUGUGAAUCAUUGUUGGAGAGUGAGUUAGUGUACCUGCCUACGUAUUAAAUUAAAUUUUAUUGAAUUAAUUUAUGAGAAAGUUUAUUGUGUUAAUGAUAAUGGAAGUAAGUUAAUUUUUUUUAAAUUUUGUUUUUGAAGUAAAGUAUUUUAAGUAAUAAAGUUAAAUAAUAGAGUGAGUGGGGACAGUUAUGAUUGAGUAUUUUUGAAUUUUAUUUUGUUUAUCAUACUUGCAAUGUAAUGUUUUAAUUUGUUCUCUCAACAUAAUUAAAAUUUAAAUAAUUUUUUUUUAAUACAGUGCCUCUUAUACAUUUGUUGACACAAGUAAUAAAGCAUUUUUAUUUAUUUACAAUUUUAUUUUAAUUACACAAAAAUUUGUAUUUAGCUUGUGAUACCGAGAAAAAUUUUUUUUUGAGUUGUUUUGUUUGUGUUUGAUUCUUAUCGGUUUUGUGAAAGUAGUGUUACAGUAAUCAGUUCAGUGGUGACCUGGGACUGGCUGCAUGACUAAGAAGACUGAGCAUGGUGUUACUGGCUGCACAUCAGAGUGAAUCUGAUGGCACCACCAGUAACUGUUGUUUCGAGGUGUUGCUGUUUUCACCAGACGAGACCAACCAGCUGCUUGCUGCCUACAGCAUAGCAGAUUUUCACUGGGGAGACAUCCCCGAUGACAUGCUGCGAGGAAGGCAGGCUGAGGGCAGAACUGCUCUGAAGGCUGGAUCCUGGGUGUGAGCUGCAGAUCACACUUCAAGGACUCUUCUCUCCAGCUUCAACUAGGGCUGAUCUGUCCACGGUUCAUGCCUCUCCUAGUUGUAUGUCGUACGAGUAGUUUUACGAUGUGCCAGCCACCAUCGAUUCUUACAGGAAAGAAUUGUUUCCUGGGCUAUUUUGUAUUUUGUAUUGGUUUAACUUUUUCAGUUUAGACUUUGGAAUUAAUUGUUGUGGUAAAACCUAACCUUCGUGCGCUGUCUUGUUCGAGUAGGCAUUAAACGUAUAAAUUUUUGCCCCUUGGUUUUGUUCAUUGUUAGGAAUUUUUAUGGCUUGUGGGGCACAAGCCCUUGCAGACCGGGGUAAUGUCACGGUCUGAAAAUUUCAUUACCUUUUUUUCUUAAAUUUUAUUUUACUUUUGUUUCUCGUCAGGUUUACGUGUUGGUGUACGUGCGCGUUUCCAGGCUCGGCCGGUUGAUUUCGACACGCUGGUAUGGGAAUAUAGGUUACUGUGAUAGAAGUUUGCAAGCGCCGCGGGCUUUUGCGAGGCUGCGUGGGUUGCUAAUUCUCGUGGGUCGCUGGCCAGGGCCUGCUGAGAGGUUGCAACACGCCGUUCCAGAAAAACCUGCUGCGCUACGCUAGUCUCUGGUUUGUCGCGCGAGGCUUUUGUGUUCUCGUUUCGAGGACUCUGUCCUGUUUAGUGAUGCCAUCUUGCGUCCAAGUUUGGAAACGUAGACGGAAAAUUAACAAUCGAGCAGCGCAAGAGGGAGAGGGGGAAACUCGCUCGCGCCUGCGCAGAAGGAAUAGCUGACUUCAUUUGUUUUUAAAUUUUUCCUUGUGGGAAGGGAGGGGACCGCGAGUUGCCUUGUGGAUAAGUUUUCCCAGUGUUCGUGUUUUUUUUUUGUUUUUCCGGCAUGGCCUAGUUUUGUAGUUAAAACCUCCUUCCAGGGAGGGGCCGGGGCUUUUUGCCUGGGGACCUCUCUGGGAGCCGGGUCCACGUCGGUUUGAAACAACUUUGCUUCGCCUCAAGUCAGUAGGGUAAGUGGUUGGCCAUGGCUCGUUCGCAACAAUCAUUUCUUGGACGAUCUUCGUCUUAAUCUUUUAAGUAAUAAUGUAGUAUUGUUCCACCUCUAUUAUUUAUUAUUUGGUUUUGGGAAAAAUCGACGUCUGGUUAUAAGUAUGUAGGUAGUGGUAACUGGGAAGUAUACUAUUCUUCCGCGGAGCUGCGACGACGAGAGAACCGCCAUGUUGUAGUGAUAAUUGUUUGCCGGCGGACGUCACUUUAAUAUGUAUUUAAGGUAUUUAUUUAUUCUUGAAUCCACGUGAUAAAUUAUUAUUUAUGAAUUCUUCUGUUAACUUUUUUUUUUUGUUUUAAUUUCUCAGAGUUUGUUUAUUGUGCUUCUCAUAUUUGGAUUAGUAAAUAAAACCUGUGCUUGAAUGAACUAAUCACGUUUCUUUUCAGUACAUAAAUAAUACCCUACACUUCCUGUAUAGGGAGAAGACUUGAUCUCGAGUACCCUGCCUACCUAUGAGCUACAGUACUACCUCCCCCCCAGUGUUAUAGGUCAUUUAUUGUUUUGUGUAUAGGUGUAUGCAGGACGUCUGACGGAGUCACGUCACAAGAUUACGUGAGGGUUGGAAAAGUUGUGCAUUUAGUAAUGGGGAAGGGUCCGUCCUCGGCAAUCCUGCACAUGAACGGAAUGGCGUCACUGUGCAGUAACACACCCAGAGCUAAGAACAAAAAAAAUCGCAUGAACUCCAACUACUUACGCGUGUUGUGUUGUCUUCCCUGUACACGAUCCCCAGUAUGACAUUUACGUAACUGCGAUCCGUACAGCUCAAUGCACACGGUUAUCAGUCUUUAACGAAAAACUUAAGCAUUUUCAGGCUAAGAACAUUUACAGCUGUCCUUCUACAUGCCCAUUCGUGAUCACGUUAAUGACUAUCGACAUUUUAUUGUUCUCCAAAUAGUUAACUCAACACACAGUUGAUUUACAGAUUAUUUCUUUUACGUUACAUGAAUGAAUUUGUGAUUAAAAUAAAGACUGGUUUUAAGACAGUAAAGAAACACACAAAUAUAAAAAAUUAUUAGUUCUAUUUCAGUACAUACAGUAUUUUAUUCUUUCAAUUUUCCCUGUGGUUUUCUGGGUUCAAUUCCUUGAGUUUUCCUUUAUCUUCCAGGUUUACCCUGUCUACGAAAACCCUUCUUUUGUAAAUAGAGUUGAUCACGACAACCAAGUAUACAAUUACGUACACGCUCGUAUCUAUCUGCCACUAUCGUUCCCUUUCAGCGGUGUGAGUGUUAACCAGCGCGGGGGUGUGUUCCACCCCUCCCCUUCAAGGGUUGCAUCGUACAGAACCCUAUCACCGUGUGCCGCGAAGCAGGUGACAACCAAUUAGCGACUGGCACCGGAUACUCCAAUUGGGGGGAGGGGGGGUUGCGCGUUGAUUUCAAGGUUGACAGAAGGUAACUGUGUUAUACAAUCGUAUUACACAAUUCCCCGUUCCCCUCGGCACACAACAGCAAGACGGGAGAUGGCAACGAAGAAAAGGGCGCCGCUGAAACUACCUUGGAGUUAGUGUCGAGGAAGCGCCGACUACAGGCAUUCGCCCAAUUAGAAGGCUUUGUUAAUCACAGGGAGGUAACUGCCUCAUUAACGUACACGGAGAAAAUGUUGUGCCCAUUUCCAAUAUCAGUUUAUCCGCGGUCUGAAAAGGGAGUAAUUCCCAGAAUUUUGAGUUAAGCAGAGUUAAAAAAAAAAACACCAACUAAAUGUAGAAUAAAAAAAAACUUAAUAUGUUUAAAAAUGUAGAAAUUUUAUUGUAAAGAAUGUGACAUACUGAUAAGUGCAAUACGACAAAAAAUCACAAAACUUAUUUAUAAAAACUGUUUCUGAAAAAUACGUUAACUUUAUUUUACCUUGCAUUGUGAGGAAUAGGUACAUUAAAAAAAUAUCUGAAUAUAAUAAAAAAAGUAAUGGUAAUAACUUAACGUUUAUUGUAGGGGGAAAAAUGCUUACACUAAUUCUAAAAGGUAUGUACAUCGUUCCAGGCGGAAAAAGUUUCAAACGUUUUUUCUUUGUGAAAACGUCUAUUCGCUCGUUAGAGUUAUAGUCAGUAUAAUUUUCUUGUGUGACAAAAUACCGACAGUUUGACUCGCUAAUAACUACAAGACUAAUGAUUAGAGACCGGAAAAAUUCGCGGGUUCAAUGACCUCCAGGAUAGACUCCAAUAUCCUCUACACACUCGGGCAAAUGCCAAAUGUUCAUUGGCUGCUGACUUGUGAGUCAUCUCGACUGGGUGGCCUGUGAUUCGAUACUUGUAUGGGUGAGGGUCUCUAAUUGGCCCUGAGUCCUCCAGACUAACAGUGAACGAAUGACAGAAGCAGCACUAAGGUAUAAUUAUUUGAAUUUUAGCAUGACACGAAAUGAACCUGAAAAUUUUUCAGGUCUCUACUAAUGAUGAUUUAACAGUAGUUGAGCACAUAACGGAUUAAUCAUGUCUGUACGUGUUUCUUUUUUUUUUUUUGCCUGUGACGUCAUCAUACUAGUGUGAUUGUUCACGAAUUACCUUUGUGUGACGUUAUAAAUUGGUGUAGAGUGGAAACGCGUGUAGCCAGGACAUUGAUCCUGGUGUCACUGUGCAGAGCUUGUGGAGCACUGCUGGGACCCAAAGUGAGACAAUAAAAAUAUUCACUGCAAAAUAAGUGAAAAUUUGUAUUAAAUUGAAUAUUACUAAACAAUUUCUGAUGUCGUCUCAUAUGACUCGUAAAUAUGAUCGGAAUGAUAGAAGAUGCAAGUCGAAGGAAAGCUAGCGUCGAAAGGAAUUCAAUAAUCCUAAAGAGCACAGUGCCCAGCGAAUGCGAAAGCAACGGCAAAAUCGAAAAGGAAAUGAUAAAAUGGCGCAAAGCGAUUACGUAGCUGGCCCAUCGGGCAUACAGGGGCCAUUCCGGAUCAUGCAAACUUUGUAUUAAAUAGACUGAUAAUUAAAUUACAUAAUAAUACGUAACACUUGUUAUGAUUUUAUUCCAAAGUUUUCACAAAAAAUUCUACCGCGCGGACUUGGAACUGCGCCAUUCUCUAGUUUUGCUUUGAAAAUAGUCACUGCAGCUACACUCGACACAGCUACUAGUACACCACUUUCUCAUCAGGAAGACCAAAGCUGACCUCCCAACUUUGCACGCGCCUGGAUUUAUCCAAGACGUGUCAAGGAAGGGCCACUAAGGCCGGUAUCCCAAUACAUUAAAAUAAGGGUUUAGGUGUUGAAUAUUCUACACCUGUACCCUUAUCGUAUUCCUAGUGGACGAUAGCACAUGGCCAGUCUCUUAUUUUUAGGCAACACAUUUUGGUGACAUAUCCGUUGCCGUUAUGUUGCCCAAAUUACGCGCAUGCGCAGAGCUUUUUAUUUUAUUUUAAGUUGUUUUCGUCCAGAUGGAUGAACCAUAUUUGGCGCCAUGAACAAAUAUAUAGUCAAUUUUAUGAUAAUCGGGGGAAGUACCAAGCGAAUUGGUGUGCCAAAUGAAACUAUGUUAGCUAAAUUAUUCUGGAGUACACUUUGUACAUUUUAAUUGUCAUAAUUACAAAUAAUUUCAACUUUAACAGUACUUGAGACUAUUAAAAAAACCAAUUAAUUCACACGAUAGUGCUGCUAUCUUUAGGACUUAUAGCAUAGCAAAUGUAUCGAUAGUUGCCAUACGACCGCUAGGCUAGUACCUAGCCUCGUGCAAGGCACAGUUUAUUAAAACUGUUGAUUAUUCGUUACCUAACAGGGAUUGGGUUUGGACACGUUAUUGAAUACGGUCUGCGAGUUAGGUUGCGUUGUAUCCCAAAAAAGUAGUGCUUAUUACCAGAACGUCUUGGAAUACCAUCCUAAGCCGCUAUACAAGUAAGUGCGUGGGUGCCCCCGGGGGGAUUAAAAUGUCAGCCUUCCCUCACGUGACGUGACCGAUAACGCAUAUUCCCCUUGAAUACCCAAACCGAACUUCGCAAGUCAGAAAGUCUUCCCCAGGCACUGCCAUUACAUGCGUUCCCGCACUGUCAUGAACCCUUUUGAAACCAAUCUCUGAAUAAAUUACCACUGCACCCGUGAUACCAUGCAAUUCGAUCGGAAAAAGAACAGGAGACGCAUUCUUUUUUUAUGGCGUAUUUUGAUACUCGUCUCUUUACCAAACGGUUUUAUUUUAAUUGGUCGACCUCUGAUUUAAAAUUUUUUAUGGACAUACACCACAGAUAAAUAACAAGAAUGCACAAGAAAGAUGAAUACAAAAAAUCAACAGAAAAACAAGUCAAGAUCAGCCCGUUGUAAAUGUUAAAUGAAUUAGCACAGGAAAUUCCGUGGAAGGAAUUACACUAAAUAUCACGGCACAGACGAACACUGUGGGCUGACAAAGACGAAACCUUGUAACAAGAAGAGAGAGAGAGAGAAAGAGAGAGAAAGAGAGAGAAAGAGAGAGAAA